rnacentral:rRNA from 1 species
AACGAACGCUGGCGGCAUGCCUAACACAUGCAAGUCGAACGAGAUCUUCGGGUCUAGUGGCGCACGGGUGCGUAACGCGUGGGAAUCUGCCCUUUGGUUCGGAAUAACAGUUGGAAACGACUGCUAAUACCGGAUGAUGACGAAAGUCCAAAGAUUUAUCGCCAGAGGAUGAGCCCGCGUAGGAUUAGCUAGUUGGUGUGCUAAAGGCGCACCAAGGCGACGAUCCUUAGCUGGUCUGAGAGGAUGAACAGCCACACUGGACUGAGACACGGCCCAGACUCCUACGGGAGGCAGCAGUGGGGAAUAUUGGACAAUGGGCGAAAGCCUGAUCCAGCAAUGCCGCGUGAGUGAUGAAGGCCUUAGGGUUGUAAAGCUCUUUUACCCGGGAUGAUAAUGACAGUACCGGGAGAAUAAGCUCCGGCUAACUCCGUGCCAGCCGCCGCGGUAA